rnacentral:lncRNA from 1 species
AGAGUAAAUCAGAGUAAACUUUCAACUUACACUGACUGUGAUUCUUGCAUUUUAUUUUAUAAAACAGUCAUCGAACGCGUUACAGAAAUAGAGACUGAUAAGCCUUGCGCCACAUGGGAUGGCGAUAUUUUGUUUAUCAAGUUUCAAACGUUGACAAGGUGAUAACGUGGAGCUACCGGCCGUGCCACGAUUGUUAGACUCUCAACCAACCGACUGACCUGAAUCACAACCAUAAUCGCCAAGCCGAAGAUUGGACGUUUCGUACCAUCUCUCUGGAAGAAACGGUGCAGGCAUUACACAUAUGUUUGCAUCUGUUCUUCUGAAGCUCCGUCGCCAUUCGUUAGUCACUCUCGCGCACGAAGAGUCUCCUCGACUUCCCCGACGAGAAACCAUCGUCACUACGCGAUCAAGUCAAAGGUGACACGAUUCUCAGUGAUUUCGUUUCACUUGCCUCUUGGCUUACGGCGAUUCCACAUUUUCUGCCACGUUGUAGCGACGCGCGUACAAACUCACGCAGUCCACGGCCACAGCCGACUGAAUAACUUUCAUGAGGCAGAUACCGCGUGGAAACGUCGUACCGUCGCUCGACAAGGUUGACCCACGGCGUAAUGCACGCGAUAUCGAUGCACAACGUGCGAUGACCGGCGAGUCGAUUUGGGAUGAUCGUAAUGAUGGAAAAAGCGGAAAACUGCUCAAUUUACGGUGACGCAAACGACGCUUUACGUCGGAAAUGAAAGAUAAUUAAAUCCGCUGAUGAUGCCGGGCUUUCGCGCGGCGCCAUAAAUUCGUUCGAAAUAUUGCGGCGUAUUCCGCGAGCAACGUGCCUCCUAUUGCGGCUUUCAAAAAAUUUUCACGCGCUUUUCAUGAGGCACUUUCUUUAUAAAGCAAGAAAAAAGAACCGAGAGAAAAAAGUAAAUCGGAGCCAAGGCACUUUUAAGAUGGCUGCUAUUUUCUACGUAAUAACGAAUUUAAUUUAAUAACGAAUUAAGGAAACUAAAUAAGAGAGGGCAAAUGAUAUUUUCUUCUAUCUACUUUUUGGAGAUAAAAGAACGGAAUUUCUUAUCGUAUAGUACAUACGCGAUAGAAACUCGGACGCGUUUUGUAGGAUCUGCGUCGUGAGACGUCAUUCUAAUUUAUGAUUAACGCAUUAACCGCAAAUGAUAUAUUAUAAUGAGAUAUCACACACACUCAUAUACGCAGUAUGCAUGCGUGCGCACGUUUCCAUUUGCGAUUAUAUUUACGCAGUAUAUUUGUGCUCGUAUGUGUGAUCUCUCAAUAUUGAUCUUUCUUAAUAUUGAUUUGUGUCACUUCUCCCAAUCAUUUCAUCAACUUGAUGAGUGAAAAAUGACGAUAAUGUCUCUAUCUGUCUCUCCCUCUGUUGUCGCGAUUUGAUGUGCGCACAUUUCUCACGUGUUCUGCCGUGUGUCGUAUCAGAGAGCAAACUUUUCGACGAGACUGUCCUCGAGCGGUGAAAGUAACGUUACUAACUACAUCCACGUUCCACAAUUAACGCUUCUGAAAUUUUGUAAAUGGCGAAUUUGUCACUUGAUUGUUCAGCUGUUAACAGAGCUAUUGAGGAUUGAUACGUUUAGCUCUUAACAAAGAUAACAAACGAGACGUAAAAACAUGUGUUGGCGUAUGUAAAGCGAAUUACGGAACUUGUUACAAUUCGUGAUAUUCGUGAUUCUGUCCGUUACAUCGACAGAUUCGCGGUAUCGAAAAUUAGAUUGCUAAUGCAGGCAUGAUACGAUUUUAGCGAAAAGCGACGAAAGUAAAUAUUUGCAAUGGGGAUACAUUAAUUGCGUGCACACGUGAGAGCAUUGCCAUUAAUCUAUCUCCGAUGCAAAUAUUAGGUAACAAUAGUUGGUAGCGUUCUUUGAAAUUUCAAGACAAUUAUUACAUACAUUUCCUGUACUUAUUUAAUAAAUUGCUAGACUGUUCGUUUUGAGA